rnacentral:rRNA from 1 species
UACGUAGGGUGCAGGCGUUGCUCGGAAUUACUGGGCGUAAAGGGUGCGUAGGCGGCUUGUUAAGACAGGUGUGAAAUCCCCGGGCUUAACCUGGGAACUGCGCUUGUUACUGGCAGACUUGAGUGUGGCAGAGGGGGGUGGAAUUCCAGGUGUAGCAGUGAAAUGCGUAGAUAUCUGGAAGAACACCGAUGGCGAAGGCAGCCCCCUGGGCUAACACUGACGCUGAUGCACGAAAGCGUGGGGAGCAAACAGG